rnacentral:rRNA from 1 species
CAUAGUCAAGAGGGAAACAGCCCAGACCAACAGCUAAGGUCCCCAAUGCCGUACUAAGUGGCGAAGGAUGUGGAAUUUCGAAAACAACCAGGAUGUUGGCUCAGAAGCAGCCACCAUUAAAAGAGUGCGUAAUAGCUCACUGGUCGAGAGACUCUGCGCCGAAGAUGUCCGGGGCUAAAGUACGGAACCGAAGCUUUGGCAAUUAACAUAAGUUAAUUGGGUAGGGGAGCGUUCCUGCAUGGGAGAAGCCUGACCGGAAGGACAGGUGGACAGGCAGGAAGAGAGAAUGCCGGUAUGAGUAGCGAAAAGAAGGGUGAGAAUCCCUUCCACCGAAAGCCUAAGGGUUCCUGGGCAACGAUCGUCGUCCCAGGGUAAGUCGGGACCUAAUCCGAGGCGGAGACGCGUAGGAGAUGGACAACAGGUUGAAAUUCCUGUACUGGCUGAGGCCGUUUGAGCGAAGGAGUGACACAGGAAGGAAGGCGCGCGUGCGAUUGGAAGAGCACGUCCAAGCAGGUAGGUCGGGAGACAGGCAAAUCCGUUUCCCGUAAGGCCGAGAUGCGAUGGGGAGCUUCUGGAGACAGAAGCGAAGGGGCUGGCACUAAACUGUCGAGAAAAGCUUCUAGUGAGGACUCAGGCACCCGUACCGAAACCGACACAGGUAGGCAGGAUGAGAAUUCUAAGGUGCGACGGGAAAACCCUCGUUAAGGAACUCGGCAAAAUAUAUCCGUAACUUCGGGAAAAGGAUAACCCAGCGUACGUGAAGUGCAGAAACGCAUGGAGCGGAGAUGGGUGGCAGAAGAGAGACCCAAGCGACUGUUUACCACAAACACAGGCGUCUGCUAAAGCGAAAGCUGAUGUAUAGAUGCUGACACCUGCCCGGUGCUGGAAGGUUAAGAGGAAGUGUUAGCGCAAGCGAAGCAGUGAAUUGAAGCCCCAGUAAACGGCGGCCGUAACUAUAACGGUCCUAAGGUAGCGAAAUUCCUUGUCGGGUAAGUUCCGACCCGCACGAAAGGUGCUAACGAUU